rnacentral:rRNA from 1 species
AUUGAACGCUGGCGGCAUGCCUUACACACGCAAGUCGAACGGCAUCGCGGGGGCAACCCUGGCGGCGAGUGGCGAACGGGUGAGUAAUGUAUCGGAACGUACCCUCCAGUGGGGGAUAACGCAGCGAAAGUUGCGCUAAUACCGCAUAAACUGUGAGCAGCAAAGCAGGGGAUCGCAAGACCUUGCGCUGGGGGAGCGGCCGAUAUCAGAUUAGCUGGUUGGUGGGGUAAAGGCCUACCAAGGCGACGAUCUGUAGCGGGUCUGAGAGGAUGAUCCGCCACACUGGGACUGAGACACGGCCCAGACUCCUACGGGAGGCAGCAGUGGGGAAUUUUGGACAAUGGGGGCAACCCUGAUCCAGCCAUGCCGCGUGAGUGAAGAAGGCCUUCGGGUUGUAAAGCUCUUUCGGCCGGGAAGAAAUCGCGUGCUCUAACAUAGCGCGUGGAUGACGGUACCGGAAUAAGAAGCACCGGCUAACUACGUGCCAGCAGCCGCGGUAAUACGUAGGGUGCGAGCGUUAUUCGGAAUUACUGGGCGUAAAGCGUGCGCAGGCGGUUUUUUAAGACAGGCGUGAAAUCCCCGGGCUUACCCUGGGAAUGGCGCUUGUGACUGAAAGGCUAGAGUACGGCAGAGGGGGGUGGAUUUCCACGUGUAGCAGUGAAAUGCGUAGAGAUGUGGAGGAACACCGAUGGCGAAGGCAGCCCCCUGGGCCGAUACUGACGCUCAUGCACGAAAGCGUGGGUAGCAAACAGGAUUAGAUACCCUGGUAGUCCACGCCCUAAACGAUGUCAACUAGGUGUUGGGUGGGUAAAACCAUUUAGUACCGGAGYUAACGCGUGAAGUUGACCGCCUGGGGAGUACGGCCGCAAGGUUAAAACUCAAAGGAAUUGACGGGGACCCGCACAAGCGGUGGAUGAUGUGGAUUAAUUCGAUGCAACGCGAAAAACCUUACCUACCCUUGACAUGCCAGAGAGAUUUCAGAGAUGAGAUUGUGCCCGAAAGGGAAUCUGGACACAGGUGCUGCAUGGCUGUCGUCAGCUCGUGUCGUGAGAUGUUGGGUUAAGUCCCGCAACGAGCGCAACCCUUGUCGUUAAUUGCCAUCAUUAGGUUGGGCACUUUAACGAGACUGCCGGUGACAAACCGGAGGAAGGUGGGGAUGACGUCAAGUCCUCAUGGCCCUUAUGGGUAGGGCUUCACACGUCAUACAAUGGUCGGUACAGAGGGUAGCCAAGCCGCGAGGCGGAGCCAAUCCCGAAAAGCCGAUCGUAGUCCGGAUUGCAGKCUGCAACUCGCCUGCAUGAAGUCGGAAU